CAGGGGCAGCAGUGCCUCUUUGACAGGGGCGUGCUGUCAGCUCAUAUGAAAGCACGCCCCUGUCCCUGAUCUUAUGUGAUUGGGCACUGAGCAGUGGGGCUGUGAUCAUGAUGUGAGCUGCAGAGCAGUGCAGGGGAACAGCCAGCCCUCCUCCUCGGCUCCAGACUCCGGACUUCAAGACAGCAGCACAGCUGCCACUAGUACACAGGUGUAGCAGAUUAUCCACACUUACAACACCCUGCUUAGGAAUUGCCAAAAGCUAAAGAAUAAACAAGACAGGCACAAGGUCGACACUGGUAAAGGUCAACAGGGGUUAGUGUGGAUAGUUUUUCCAUCUGGGACCACCAUUUGUAGAAACGCGUCUUCUCAUGGGAUUGCUUUGCUCGCCGCCCUUUGGGCUCAGGGUCUCGCUUCUUUCUCUACAAGGUUGCUAAAGAUUUAUGAUUUGUGACAUGGAUAGUCAAGGAAGGCAAAAGUCCAUCAACAUGAAAGAACCCCAAAACAUGUGUCGACCAUAUGAACCUGUGGAUCUUUUGAACCUGUCGACCUUUUCCAGUGUCAACCUUUGGAAUUUGGAAUUUUGGAAAGUCAUGCCAAAAUAUUUCUGUCUACCCAGGAUUUUCCCAUCUGAACACGAUAUAUUUUCCUGCUAAAUUGUGUGAAUGACAUAUUAUAGAAGCCCAUAUUAAUGCAAAGGUUGCAGCGACACAACUUUCCUUUUUAUAUUCCAUUAUAAGGUUCUUGUGUAUGACACGUAUAAAUUUCUCCCAAUAUGUCAUAUAUCUAUGUCAUAAGCAUAAGUUAAAAGAACAAAAGGAAUGGGUUUGUUGAUGGUGCAUUAAAGUAUGUCUAAUAUUUUUAUUUAAAUUGUAAAUACUGCAUAGACAUUACAGACUGAUAUUAAGAUAUAUUCAUGAAUUAGCAAUCAAAUAAUAAUCAAUAUUACCUGAUUCAGCCUUAGCAUAGGGAAGCACUGAAUCCAGAAUAUCGAUUUACAGUACCAGGCUAAACCUGCACUGGGGAUUUUCAAGAUUAAAUCUCAUGCAAUUAAUCUUUUAACUAAAAGCAAAUUUACUAUGGGGCAGAUCUAAUAACAAAUGAUAUUCUAGUUAUCACUUGUUACUAAUCUUAAUUGAAGCACCAACUAAUCAGCUCCUGUCAUUUUUCAAAUGCAUGACAGUUACUGUAGGAGCUGAUUGUUUGGAGUACCAUUUAAGAUUAGUAAUGAGUGAUAACUACACUAUCACUUGUUAAAUCCGCCCCUGUGUUCUGUAGUUCAAAUGAGCCUUUCUUGCCUAGAAUUGCCUAAUAUAUUUCGGGAUGAGCAAUUAAUUGCCUGAAGCACCUGUUACUGGGAACAGAAAUCCAGUGUUAACAGUUAGAUUUUAUCUAAUAAAACUAUAUUAAUAAAAAUCAUUUACAUAGCCUAACUUUUAGUACAUCAAUUGUAUUUCUUACCUUGGG